UGCGUAUAAGAUCUGAAGAAACAGGCGUUAUAUUUAGCGCCGAUCGUGAAAGAGAGGAGCGACCCAUAAACCAUGGCACUUCCAGGCCCUUACUCUGGCACCAGCACUCUCGCCCUGGCAGCUCGUUUCUCAGUCUUCACUGUUGGGCUGGUUUAUGGAAGCCUUAAGCUCUCUUAUCUCAAGUCAAAAUCUAAGUCACAAACGAAGGCAGAAGCUAAGGGCCAUCACUGAAAAUGUUUUCUGAUUCUCAAGUCCAUCAGCUCCUGGAGUUCCUUUUUUCCUCCACAUAAAUGAGGAUUUAUCUUUCCUCUUCUUGCCUUUUUUCCAGUUUGAGGAGCUUUGAAGAAACAUGAAUACGACAAUUACUCAAGAAUGAAUUCAUUAUUAUUAUUUUUUUCCUCUGAUUUGAAAUUUUUGGACGUGUUUUGAGUUUGUCAUGUCUCUCACUUAUUUAAGUGUUUUUUACUUGGUCCUUGUGCCUCGCUAUUGGUUCAUUAUCCCUAAUAAAGCAGGGGAACUGAUUAUCUGAUAAUUUGGCAACCUAUUUGGGGUAAACUAUUUUUCCCAUUGGAA